rnacentral:rRNA from 1 species
GACGAACGCUGGCGGCGUGCUUAACACAUGCAAGUCGAACGGAAAGGCCCUGCUUUUGUGGGUUGCUCGAGUGGCGAACGGGUGAGUAACACGUGAGUAACCUGUCCUUGACUUUGGGAUAACUUCAGGAAACUGGGGCUAAUACCGGAUAGGAGCUCCUGCUGCAUGGUGGGGGUUGGAAAGUUUCGGCGGUUGGGGCUGGACUCGCGGCUUAUCAGCUUGUUGGUGGGGUAGUGGCUGACCAAGGCUUUGACGGGUAGCCGGCCUGAGAGGGUGACCGGCCACAUUGGGACUGAGAUACGGCCCAGACGCCUACGGGAGGCAGCAGUGGGGAGUAUUGCACAAUGGGCGGAAGCCUGAUGCAGCAACGCCGCGUGCGGGAUGACGGCCUUCGGGUUGUAAACCGCUUUCGCCUGUGACGAAGCGUGAGUGACGGUAAUGGGUAAAGAAGCACCGGCUAACUACGUG